rnacentral:rRNA from 1 species
AGUGAACGCUGGCGGUAGGCCUAACACAUGCAAGUCGAACGGCAGCACAGUAAGAGCUUGCUCUUACGGGUGGCGAGUGGCGGACGGGUGAGGAAUACAUCGGAAUCUACUUUUUCGUGGGGGAUAACGUAGGGAAACUUACGCUAAUACCGCAUACGACCUACGGGUGAAAGCAGGGGAUCUUCGGACCUUGCGCGAUUGAAUGAGCCGAUGUCGGAUUAGCUAGUUGGCGGGGUAAAGGCCCACCAAGGCGACGAUCCGUAGCUGGUCUGAGGGGAUGAUCAGCCACACUGGAACUGAGACACGGUCCAGACUCCUACGGGAGGCAGCAGUGGGGAAUAUUGGACAAUGGGCGCAAGCCUGAUCCAGCCAUACCGCGUGGGUGAAGAAGGCCUUCGGGUUGUAAAGCCCUUUUGUUGGGAAAGAAAAGCAGCAGGUUAAUACCCCGCUGUUCUGACGGUACCCAAAGAAUGAGCACCGGCUAACUUCGUG